rnacentral:rRNA from 1 species
GACGAACGCUGGCGGCGCGCCUAACACAUGCAAGUCGAACGAGCGAGAGAGAGCUUGCUUUCUUGAGCGAGUGGCGAACGGGUGAGUAACGCGUGAGGAACCUGCCUCAAAGAGGGGGACAACAGUUGGAAACGACUGCUAAUACCGCAUAAGCCCACGGUGCCGCAUGGCACAGAGGGAAAAGGAGCAAUCCGCUUUGAGAUGGCCUCGCUUCCGAUUAGCUAGUUGGUGAGGUAACGGCCCACCAAGGCGACGAUCGGUAGCCGGACUGAGAGGUUGAACGGCCCAAUUGGAACGGGGACACGCCCCAGACUCCUACGGGGGGCGGCGGUGGGGAAAAUUGCACAAUGGGGAAACCCUGAUGCAGCGACGCCGCGUGGAGGAAGAAGGUCUUCGGAUUGUAAACUCCUGUUGUUGGGGAAGAUAAUGACGGUACCCAACAAGGAAGUGACGGCUAACUACGUG